rnacentral:rRNA from 2 species
GUUUGAUCCUGGCUCAGGAUAAACGCUGGCGGCAUGCCUAAUACAUGCAAGUCGAACGGGGGUGCUUGCACCCCAGUGGCGAACGGGUGAGUAACACGUAUCUAACCUACCUCAUAGCGGGGGAUAACUUUUGGAAACGAAAGAUAAUACCGCAUGUGAAUCUUAUUAUCGCAUGAGAAAAGAUUGAAAGGACCGUUUGGUUCACUAUGAGAUGGGGAUGCGGCGUAUUAGUUAGUAGGUGAGGUAAUGGCUCACCUAGGCGAUGAUACGUAGCCGAACUGAGAGGUUGAUCGGCCACAUUGGGACUGAGAUACGGCCCAGACUCCUACGGGAGGCAGCAGUAGGGAAUUUUUCACAAUGGACGAAAGUCUGAUGAAGCAAUGCCGCGUGAGUAAUGACGGCCUUCGGGUUGUAAAGCUCUGUUGUAAGGGAAGAAAAAAUAGAGUAGGAAAUGCCUCUAUAUUGACGGUACCUUACCAGAAAGCCACGGCUAACUAUGUGCCAGCAGCCGCGGUAAUACAUAGGUGGCAAGCGUUAUCCGGAUUUAUUGGGCGUAUAGGGUGCGUAGGCGGUUUUGCAAGUUUGAGGUUAAAGCCCGGAGCUCAACUCCGGUCCGCCUUGAAAACUGCAUUACUAGAAUGCAAGAGAGGUAAGUGGAAUUCCAUGUGUAGCGGUGAAAUGCGUAGAUAUAUGGAAGAACACCUGUGGCGAAAGCGGCUUACUGGCUUGUUAUUGACGCUGAGGCACGAAAGCGUGGGGAGCAAAUAGGAUUAGAUACCCUAGUAGUCCACGCCGUAAACGAUGAGUACUAGGUGUUGGGGUUAUCUCAGCGCCGCAGCUAACGCAUUAAGUACUCCGCCU